UUUGAGGCAAAUAUUUAAUUAAAUUUCAAAUAAAAAUGGUUGGAAUAAAAUCUACCCAUUGUAGUUAAAUAAAACUUAAGCAUUAUAUUUACCUAAUUCCAAAUGGAGGUAAUAAUGAGUGAAUUCAAAUUAAUGUAAUCAGGCAGUUUUUAAUUGAAAAGCACUUCCUGUCAAAGUGCGCCUUUUUUAUGCAGCUGGCCAUGAAGAGAGUAACGUUCGGCUACAGACAGUGAGUGAAUGUUCGUUUUCUUCUACAUUGCUCAUCUUGCAAAAUUUAACUGGUUGACUUUAGAAAAUUUAUUUUGUUAUCACUGGGCUAGUAAGAAGAACGCAUGUAGUGGUAUAUUACAAUAUAAAAUGAGUUACCACAGAAAAACAGACUCAGCAGCAACACAAAGUUGGCUUCUGUUGGAAGGCUAUAUAGUGUGAUGUUGUUGCGCUAUAAUAACACAGCAUUAUACAUUUUGGAAGAAAUCUUAUGUAUUGAAGUCACUUUUAUUUUGAAGGAUGUGUGUUAGCAUUUUCACUAUUAUGGUUCCUAGGUCUUUUGCGUGUUAAUAUAAUAUCCUCAGUAUGUUUUUAUGAAAUUGCGUAAAUAAAUACAUUGGGUUUAAUUUCAAGGUUCCAUAAAGAGCAAUAUUUGGGGUUAUCGCUGGAAGAGCAUCUUCAGACGGCACUUGACGCAGUUCGGUUGGCUUUACUUCUCGUGUGUGGAACUCAUCUUCCCGAGGCAGGUGCCGCCAAAUGAGAUGGCAGUGUAAAGUCUGUGGAUUCAGAGCGACAACAAGGGGUGAUCUUCUGCAGCAUUACAGACUUCAGCACAGGACGUUUGAGAUUGGAAAUUCGGUACCUUGUCUUGAUUAUUAUUGUCCAUGCUCCUUUAAAACAUUAAGUGCCCUCCGCACACAUUUGUCAAGAUAUCAUGCAAAGGAUGAAGCUAAGGGGCCAGGAGUAGUCCUCUCUUUCACAUGUGUUAUUUGCUCAGCUAAAUAUCCCACUGAAAAAGAAUAUUUCCAACACCUCGGGAAUGUACAUUUAAGACCAAUAUAUAUGGAACAUUUUUUGUGCACAAAAGCAGAAAGCACAACCCUCAUUCACUUGAAGACUUAAAGCCAAAUGUCAUUGGUGAACACCAAACUUUACCAAAUGAAACUGAUCCUUUACCCGCAGGUGAUAGUGAUUGUGAUGAUAGUGAUACCAAUCCUCCAGUGGAUAUAUCAGAAGCAAUUCACCAAAGAAUUGGCUCACUUCUCUUAAAGCUGGAAAGUGUACACAACGUUUCUGGAAAAUGUAUUGAUGAUUUGGUGGAGGAGCUUUAUUUUAUAUAUACCGCUUCUGCUCCAGUAAUCCGUCAGCUUGUCGAUACAAUUUUGAAAAAGUACAAGUGUGCUGUGGAGGAGGACCUUGUUAACGAAUUGUUGUUGGAAAUAUGCAAGUCACACCCUACAAGCAAGGCACUGGGAUAAGAUGGGCCCUUUGGUUCUGUGUAUAAGAGAAGACAGUAUUUCAAGAAACAGUUUGAAUUUGUCCAGCCAGUAGAGUACAUCCUUGAUUCACAGGAGAAUCUCAGCUUUCAAUAUGUGCCCCUUCUUCAGACCUUGGAGCAUAUAUUGACCAAUAAGGAUAUUGCACAUUUUUUUUGAAAAAAAAAAUCUCAUCCACUCAGUAUGAAUCAUUUCAAGAUGGGAAUGUUGCCUGUUUGUUGCCUGUGCUGGAAAGAACAUAAAAGGCACAGUAUAUUGUGUGGCAGCAGACAAUCUUGGUGCACACUCUCUUGGUGGACUUGUUGAAAACUUCACUGGUCCUUACAUUUGCAGGUUCUGCUUAGGAUCUCAAUCUGAAUACUCUCAAAAGGAGGUACGCUGUGGGGAAUUUCCACCCCGGACUGAGGAAACCCAUAACUUGCAUCUCAAAACUGUAGAAGAUGACCCCAGCUUGCCUCAUUGCUAUGGAGUCAAGAAAGCUUGCCCACUGACUAAGAAGCUGAGUCACUUCAGUUUUGUUAGAGGUUACCCUCCUGAUAUACUCCACGACCUAUUUGAAGGCAUUGUCCCUAAAGAAUUAGCAUACUGUCUGAAUACUUUCAUUAAGAACAAAUACUUCACAUUAUCAGAAGUUAAUGACUUAAUAAAGCAAUUUCCAUUUGAGUUUACAGACAAUCUUGACCGCCCUUAACCCAUCCCAGUAAAUUUUGUUAGUCGUGGUACUAUAGGAGGAAAUGGACAUGAGAACUGGGCACUCAUAAGGUCACUGCCACUACUCAUUGGCCCAAGGAUAACCUCUGAUGAUCCAGCGUGGCAAAUUCUCAUGACCCUUAAGGACAUUGUAGAGCUCUCUGUGGCCCCUCUCCACUCUGCUGAAAGUGUUGCUUAUCUUGACCAAAAAAUAUCUGAGCAUCGUCAUAGACUGCAAGAAGUUUUCCCUGAUUUAAGAUUGACACCCAAACACCAUUUUUUGGAGCACUAUCCUGCGCUCAUAGAAGCAUUUGGUCCUCUAGUUGGACUGUGGACUAUGCGCUUCGAGGCCAAGCAUAAGUUCUUCAAGCGUGUUGUGAGGUUCUCAAGCAAUUUCAGGAAUGUCUUGGCGUCACUUUCAACAAAACAUCAGCUGAUGAUGGCUUACAACUGGCAAAGAAAUAUGGCUAAGCCUGCCCUGGUAACCAGUAAAGUGUCAUCUUUGCCUUUGGAAGUACUACGUGUUGACAUCAAGGAGUCUGUCAAGAAACUGUUCCCUCAGCUAACAAGUGUACAGUUGUCAAACACUUUGACAUACCAUGGAACAAGGUAUUCAGCUGGGAUGAUCUUGACGUAUGGUUCUACAGGAGGGCUUCCAGACUUUGUAGAGAUCAUACAGAUGUUGAUCUUGGAAAGCAGCCUUUACUUCUUUGUCAAGAAACUCAAUGCUUGGUACUUGGAGCACCUCAGAUCUUUUCUGUUGGAGACCUGUAAUAAAGUGAAUCUUGUUCAUCACCUCAGCCUUCAAGAUGUCUAUCCACUUGCAGCUUACAGAAUUGCAGGAAUGCGUGUGGUUACACUGAAACGUUACAUUUGUUGUACAUUGUAGAUUCUAUCUUCUCCCUCUAUCAUAAACUGUAAGGUGUUGUUGAUUUUGUGAAUUGGCUUAUUUACAAAUAACAGAUGCCCACACAUCACUUGUUUUUGAGGGUUUGAGUAAUUUUGGUGCUUAAUGGAGGUAUAACCUUUAUUAUUUUUUUAAAGACUCUUUUCUUCUCACUAGGCCACCUGACAUGGAUUCAGCAGUGCUCCGGGUCCUUUUUGGUCACAGAAUAGAGAAACUGACUCUUCCAUCCGGAAUACCAGAGACAAUGGAGGAGCUGAACUUGGCCAUCAAAGAGACAUUAAGUAUAACCAACGACUUCAGCCUGCAGUAUUUAGAUCCAGAUUUUUGUGACUUUUUUACUCUCAACUCCACUGCUGAAAUUACACACAAAGCCACAAUUAAGGUUGUGACAAUCGAACCAGUUAUUCUCAGUUUGUACCCAUUACCACUCAAUGACAGCUAUGAUGAAAGUUUCACCUCAGAGCAAUCCCAUGAUCCUGCCUCCACAAGUUCCUCUGUACAAGACUCCUGUGGCUCGUGUGAGUCAUCAUCUGAAAGCUCAGCCAUCAUGUCAGCAAGCAGGAGCCUACAAAAGAAACCAUGGCCAACUGAUUUCAUUAUUCCACGAUUCUCUUUUGAAACCGAAAUGAUUCUUGAAAGAGCAAAUGAAGUUUAUCGAAAAGAGGGCACACUGCUGAAUAUGCCAAACAUCAAGUCCGAUAUACUUGAAAAGCUAGCUCAGUCCAUUUAUACAUACACUCCCUAUCCAUCACUCCAGAAUCGUCUUUCUGUCGCUGAAGCACUUAUCAAGGCACACCCAUGUCUCAAGGAUCCAGGGAGCUCUUCAGGCGUCAUUGGUUGGCAGAAUAGUCUUAAAUACAAGAUGGCUAACUACAGAACCAAGUUAAGAGGCUUUGGUAUUCCAGAUGUUACAUGCAAUGCUCUAAAACAUAAAUCCCCUGCUGACAGGAAGUCUGCAAAAAAUGUAAAAAAGGCAAAAAGAGCAGAGGUCAAUUAUCUGCCACCCUACCCAGCUGGUGAAAAUGAGCAGAGCUUGGAGAAAGUAAGGGAAGAGCUGGUCACAGAGUCAAAAAAGAAGAACAACGAAAAUGUAGUCAAAGACCAAAUGAGCAAAACAUUUGCCCUCAGACGACAUGAAAUCAUCAAUCUGUGUCCAACUGUUUGAGCCAUGAAGGACUGCUGGCCUGCCCUGUUUGACCCUUCUCAAAUCAAUGCAGAAUUUCAAAGAACAACUACUGUAAUUCUGGAACCGAAAUUUAUGUCUGCGUUAGACCGUCACACUCCCAAGCUACUGAUGCUAUUUCGUGCCAAAGGUGGAGCACUUGGAAGAAGACUGGAGAACAUAAUGGAACCGCUGCAGGACUCAGUGCACUCUUCGAUUGAGAGGACCAGAGAGGUUGUUCUUCGGUGUCUUAUAGAAUACCUUGGAGAACAAGGGGGACAUCUCAUCAAAGAAUUCAACGACACUGAACAACUUGGAGGAACUUGAACAGGACAUAAUGGCCAUUACCGUGACCCCAAAGCCUGGAGCUUCUACAAGCAACAACCCAAAGAAAAUUGGGAUCGUCAUAGAGGGCGUGGAAGUCAUCACAGGACUUGGAGAUAUUGCAAGGGCUUGCUCUCUCCUCCUUGGCUUGACCUACGCGCUGAAUCUUGAUUAUCCCACACAGCUAAAGUACACCUUUGAGGUGUUCCAAAAACUUUUCUUGGAACUGGAUGAUUCAAAGCUUUCAAGCAAAGUCCAGUCCCUCAAGAGCAAACUUCAGGCAUGAAAUGAGACUGUAUUGCAGUGCAGACUUUUGUGCUACACAAUGUUCAUCUUCUACAGAGCUUGAAAAUUGCACAUUUGAAAGUGCUAUGUUUGUAAGUUUGCACUGAUUUGUCCCACGAAUGUCGUGACAUUUCAAUUGUUGUAAGUUCAAAGUACAAAUGUAUUUUACUCUGUUCAAUUUGCACUUUUAUUAUUUAUGUUUUGGCACAUGUCAUUAUGGAGUAUUCUCCUUUGAAGAUCUUAAUUGCUCUUUUUUUUCUCUUUUUUUUAUAGUUGAAGUCAGCAUUUUGUCCUUUUUCAAAGUUCUGGUUUGUAAUGCGUUAGCAAACUUCUGGUUUGAAAAUGAGACUGUAGUUGCAGUGUACAUGUUUUGCUACACAAUGUUUAGCUUCUACAGAGCUUGGGAAUUGCACAUCUGAAAGUCCUAUGUUUGUAAGUUAGCACUGAUUUGGACUCUUAUCCCACGAAUGUCAGUGAGAUUUCUAGUUCAAGGUACAAAAUGUUUUACAUUUCCACACCAUUCUGUAUGUCAUUUAUUUUUGUUUUUACAAAAUAGUUUAAAGUCAGCAUUCUGUCCUUUUCAAAUGUCUGGUUUGAAAUGCAAGAUCCAACUUCUGGCUUGAAAUGUAAAUGUUCUGUGGUUGCAGUGUUCAAUGAUGUGCUACAAUGUGUCUAAAGCACAAAAGUGAAUUGUUAAUAAAAUUGAGUAUCUAA